rnacentral:rRNA from 1 species
AAUACAUGCAAGUCGAGCGAAUGAUGAGGAGCUUGCUCCUCUGAUUUAGCGGCGGACGGGUGAGUAACACGUGGGUAAUCUGCCUGUAAGACGGGGAUAACUCCGGGAAACCGGGGCUAAUACCGGAUAAUAAGAAGAAACGCAUGUUUCUUUUUUGAAAGUCGGUUUCGGCUGACACUUACAGAUGAGCCCGCGGCGCAUUAGCUAGUUGGUGAGGUAACGGCUCACCAAGGCGACGAUGCGUAGCCGACCUGAGAGGGUGAUCGGCCACACUGGGACUGAGACACGGCCCAGACUCCUACGGGAGGCAGCAGUAGGGAAUCUUCGGCAAUGGGCGAAAGCCUGACCGAGCAACGCCGCGUGAGCGAUGAAGGCCUUCGGGUCGUAAAGCUCUGUUGUUAGAGAAGAACAAGUACGAGAGUAACUGCUCGUACCUUGACGGUACCUAACCAGAAAGCCACGGCUAACUACGUGCCAGCAGCCGCGGUAAUACGUAGGUGGCAAGCGUUAUCCGGAAUUAUUGGGCGUAAAGCGCGCGCAGGCGGUCUCUUAAGUCUGAUGUGAAAGCCCACGGCUCAACCGUGGAGGGUCAUUGGAAACUGGGAGACUUGAGUGCAGGAGAGAAAAGUGGAAUUCCACGUGUAGCGGUGAAAUGCGUAGAGAUGUGGAGGAACACCAGUGGCGAAGGCGGCUUUUUGGCCUGUAACUGACGCUGAGGCGCGAAAGCGUGGGGAGCAAACAGGAUUAGAUACCCUGGUAGUCCACGCCGUAAACGAUGAGUGCUAGGUGUUGGGGGGUUCCACCCUCAGUGCUGAAGUUAACACAUUAAGCACUCCGCCUGGGGAGUACGACCGCAAGGUUGAAACUCAAAGGAAUUGACGGGGACCCGCACAAGCGGUGGAUGAUGUGGUUUAAUUCGAUGCAACGCGAAAAACCUUACCUACCCUUGACAUGUCUGGAAUCCUGAAGAGAUUUGGGAGUGCUCGAAAGAGAGCCAGAACACAGGUGCUGCACGGCCGUCGUCAGCUCGUGUCGUGAGAUGUUGGGUUAAGUCCCGCAACGAGCGCAACCCUUGUCAUUAGUUGCUACGAAAGGGCACUCUAAUGAGACUGCCGGUGACAAACCGGAGGAAGGUGGGGAUGACGUCAGGUCAUCAUGGCCCUUAUGGGUAGGGCUACACACGUCAUACAAUGGCCGGGACAGAGGGCUGCCAACCCGCGAGGGGGAGCUAAUCCCAGAAACCCGGUCGUAGUCCGGAUCGUAGUCUGCAACUCGACUGCGUGAAGUCGGAAUCGCUAGUAAUCGCGGAUCAGCUUGCCGCGGUGAAUACGUUCCCGGGUCUUGUACACACCGCCCGUCACACCA